UCAAGUUAUUAAGGGUGCAGGGCGGAUGCCUUGGCACUAGGAGCCGAUGAAGGACGUGAUAAGCUGCGAUAAGCUUCGGGGAGUUGCACGUAAACUUUGAUCCGAAGAUUUCCGAAUGAGGAAACUCACUUAGAGUAAUGUCUAAGUAUCAUUAAGUGAAUACAUAGCUUAAUGAGGGGAACUCAGGGAACUGAAACAUCUAAGUACCUGAAGGAAGAGAAAGAAAUUCGAUUCCGUAAGUAGCGGCGAGCGAACGCGGAUUAGCCCAAACCAAUAAAGUUUUCUUUGUUGGGGUUGCGGACAUAUCAUAACGAAGAGGUAUCGUAAUUGAAGAGGUUUGGAAAGACCCACCACAGAAGGUAAUAGUCCUGUAUGUUAAACGAGAAGACUUUAGAUAUGAUCCAGAGUACCACGGGACACGUGAAACCCUGUGGGAAGCAGGAGGGACCACCCUCCAAGGCUAAAUACUACCUAGUGACCGAUAGCGUAUAGUACCGUGAGGGAAAGGUGAAAAGAACCCCGGGAGGGGAGUGAAAUAGAACCUGAAACCCUGCACUUACAAGCUGUGGAAGCACAUUUCUUGUGUGACCGCGUACUUUUUGUAGAACGGGCCAACGAGUUACGUUAAGUAGCAAGGUUAAGCACUUAAGGUGCGGAGCCGUAGCGAAAGCGAGUUUUAACUGAGCGUUCAGUUACUUGACGUAGACCCGAAACCGGGCGACCUACCCAUGAGCAGGAUGAAGCGAAAGUAAAAUUUCGUGGAGGUCCGAACCCACGAGCGUUGAAAAGCUCGGGGAUGACUUGUGGGUAGCGGUGAAAUUCCAAUCGAGCCCGGAGAUAGCUGGUUCUCCCCGAAAUAGCUUUAGGGCUAGCCUCAAGGUGAGAGAUACGGAGGUAGAGCACUGAAUGUCCUAGGGGGUAUUGCACCUACCGAAGACUAUCAAACUCCGAAUGCCGUCAUCUUAUACUUGGGAGUCAGACUGUGGGUGAUAAGAUUCAUAGUCGAAAGGGCAACAGCCCAGAUCGUCAGCUAAGGUCCCUAAAUGUAAGUUAAGUGGUAAAGGAUGUGGGAUUGCACAGACAACCAGGAUGUUGGCUUAGAAGCAGCCACUCAUUCAAAGAGUGCGUAAUAGCUCACUGGUCGAGUGAUCCUGCGCCGAAGAUUUCCGGGGCUAAAACUUACUACCGAAGCUACGGCAUCAGUAAUGAUGGGUAGGGGAGCUUCCCAUACGGGUUGAAGCAUGACCGUAAGGACAUGUGGACAGUAUGGGAGUGAGAAUGUUGGCAUGAGUAGCGAGAUGUGGGUGAGAAUCCCACAGGCCGUAAACCCAAGGUUUCCAGGGGAAGGUUCGUCCGCCCUGGGUUAGUCGGGACCUAAGCUGAGGCCGAAAGGCGUAGGUGAUGGACAACAGGUUGAUAUUCCUGUACUACCGAUAACCGUUUGAGAGAAGGGAUGACACAGUAGGAUAAGCUAAGCACACUGUUGGUUAUGUGUGCCCAAGCAUUGAGGCAGUCAAAGUAGGCAAAUCCGCUUUGAUAAUGCUGGGAUGUGAUGGGGAGCGAAAUUUAGUAGCGAAGUAGCUGAUUUCACACUGUCAAGAAAAGUCUCUAUCGAGGUUAAAGGUACCCGUACCGCAAACCGACACAGGUGGGUGAGGAGAGUAUCCUAAGGCCAGCGAGAGAACUGUUGUUAAGGAACUCGGCAAAAUGACCCCGUAACUUAGGGAUAAGGGGUGCCACCAUCAGGUGGCCGCAGAGAAUAGGCCCAAGCGACUGUUUACCAAAAACAUAGGUUUCUGCUAAGUCGCAAGACGAUGUAUAGGAGCUGACGCCUGCCCGGUGCUGGAAGGUUAAGGGGAUCUGUUAGAGCAAUCGAAGCAGUGAACUUAAGCCCCAGUAAACGGCGGCCGUAACUAUAACGGUCCUAAGGUAGCGAAAUUCCUUGUCGGGUAAGUUCCGACCCGCACGAAAGGCGUAACGAUUUGGGCACUGUCUCAACAACAGACUCGGUGAAAUUGUAAUUCCGGUGAAGAUGCCGGAUACCUGCGACAGGACGGAAAGACCCCAUGGAGCUUUACUGUAGCUUGACAUUGGGUCUUGGUACUACAUGUACAGGAUAGGUGGGAGGCUUUGAAACCAGGACGCCAGUUUUGGCGGAGCCAUCCUUGGGAUACCACCCUUGUAGUACUGGGACUCUAACCAUAGGCCAUGAAUCUGGUCUUGGGACACUGUCAGGUGGGCAGUUUGACUGGGGCGGUCGCCUCCCAAAAGGUAACGGAGGCGCUCAAAGGUUCUCUCAGUACGGUCGGAAAUCGUACGUAGAGUGUAAAGGCAAAAGAGAGCUUGAUUGCAAGACAUACAGGUCGAGCAAGGAUGAAAAUCGGACUUAGUGAUCCGGUGGUUCUGCGUGGAAGGGCCAUCGCUCAACGGAUAAAAGCUACCCUGGGGAUAACAGGCUUAUCUCCCCCAAGAGUCCACAUCGACGGGGAGGUUUGGCACCUCGAUGUCGGCUCAUCACAUCCUGGGGCUGUAGUAGGUCCCAAGGGUUGGGCUGUUCGCCCAUUAAAGUGGUACGCGAGCUGGGUUCAGAACGUCGUGAGACAGUUCGGUCCCUAUCCGUCGCAGGCGUAGGAAAUUUGAGAAGACCUGUCCUUAGUACGAGAGGACCGGGAUGGACGUACCUCUGGUGUACCAGUUGUCCUGCCAAGGGCAUGGCUGGGUAGCUAUGUGCGGAAUGGAUAAGCGCUGAAAGCAUCUAAGCGCGAAGCCAACUUCAAGAUAAGAUUUCCCACCGCAAGGGUAAGACCCCAGAAAGACUAUCUGGUUGAUAGGUCGAAGGUGUAAGUGCAGCAAUGUAUUUAGCUUAUCGAUACUAAUAGGUCGAGGACUUGACCAA
rnacentral:rRNA from 1 species